GAUGAAGAACGCAGUGAAAUGCGAUAAGUAAUGUGAAUUGCAGAAUUCAGUGAAUCAUCGAAUCUUUGAACGCACAUUGCGCCCCCUGGUAUUCCGGGGGGCAUGCCUGUUCGAGCGUCAUUUCAACCCUCAAGCUCUGCUUGGUAUUGAGUCCAUGUCAGCAAUGGCAGGCUCCAAAAUCAGUGGCGGCGCCGCUGGGUCCUGAACGUAGUAAUAUCUCUCGUUACAGGUGCUCGGCGUGCUUCUGCCAAAACCCCAAUUUUUCUAUGGUUGACCUCGGAUCAGGUAGGGAUACCCGCUGAACUUAAGCAUAUCAAUAAGCGGAGGAA
rnacentral:misc_RNA from 1 species